rnacentral:rRNA from 1 species
GAGUUUGAUCUUGGCUCAGGAUGAACGCUGGCGGCGUGCUUAACACAUGCAAGUCGAACGGGCUCAUAUUGAAACCUAGUGAUUUAUGAGUUAGUGGCGGACGGGUGAGUAACGCGUGGAAAACCUGCCGUAUACUGGGGGGAUAACACUUAGAAAUAGGUGCUAAUACCGCAUAAGCGCACAGCUUCGCAUGAAGUGGUGUGAAAAACUCUGGUGGUAUACGAUGGUUCCGCGUCUGAUUAGCUUGUUGGCGGGGUAAUGGCUCACCAAGGCGACGAUCAGUAGCCGGCCUGAGAGGGUGAACGGCCACAUUGGGACUGAGACACGGCCCAAACUCCUACGGGAGGCAGCAGUGGGGAAUAUUGCACAAUGGGGGAAACCCUGAUGCAGCGACGCCGCGUGAGUGAAGAAGUAUUUCGGUAUGUAAAGCUCUAUCAGCAGGGAAGAAAUAGCGACCUUUGGGUCGCCAGACGGUACCUGAUUAAGAAGCCCCGGCUAACUACGUGCCAGCCGCCGCCGU